rnacentral:misc_RNA from 1 species
UCUCUCUCUCUCUCUCUCUCUCUCUACACUCUUCUUUCUCCUUCUCUGAUAUUUCUUCCUCCUUUCCUUGAAAAUUCUUUCCUUUCUCACCCCCAUUUCUUCUUCUUCUUUCUUUCUUGAAAUUCUUGAAUCAAAUUCUUUCUUUUUCUGUUACUUUUUGGUUCUUUGUUCUAUUCCCUUCUUUAAUUUCUCAUUUCCAACACUUCAAGAAACCCACUUCUUGAAAUUCUUGAAAUUUCGUUUUUCCCCCCCCUUGUCCCUAUUUUCUUUUUUUUUUUUUUUUUCUCGAGAACCAG